UGAAAGAGCCUUAGACAUUGCAAAGGAAAAGACGAACCAAGAGCCAGAUUCGGAGCCCUUAAAAUGAUCCACUGGCCACUCACACAUAGCAGCGAGCAAAUACAUGAUCUGCUUUCAAAAGGAAGAAUGACAAGGUCAAGACCCUUAGCCCCACUCUGGACCAGGGAUGUAGAGGACAGAGAUCGGGGGACUUGGAAAUGUUUUAACUCCGUGCACACCAGGGUUCUCAUAAAUCACAGUGUAAUUCACCUGAAGCAGAGGAUCUAAAGAAGAGAGUCGCUUGCAAAGAUUGUUGGCCCCAUUGAAAUCCUAAUUGACGGAGGAGUAUCAUCCUCAAAAGGCCAUUGAGUUGCUCUUUUCCAAAAUAAGAAAUCUGCUUCCUUACUUCAAUAUACUCCCUAGGCUUUGCAUGUAGAGGAAACCAGAACAACACACUGUACUUCUGUUUUUUGGAAUUAGAAGCAUUCGAGGCAUAUUAACCAGGUAAAAUAGCAAGUUAAACAUACAUAAAAGAAAAAAAAAACUAGAUUCCGUGGACCAAGUAAUCUGUUGUCUAAAAGUUCAAGUUAAGGAGCUACUCCAGGAGAUGUGUCCUGACCGGAAGUCAAGAAUGUUCUCUGCUUGGAUGGAACAUCCUAGAACAGCCCAAAACAGACCUGGGUCACUGAACACUGGCCUCCCUCCCAUCCUGCAGCAGCACAAUGGUGCAUGUCAGUCAUGAUCUGGACUCUCAGCAUUAGCAGAAAGAAUAAGAGUCGGGAGAAAAUUGGCAGACUGUGUUCCUACCUAUUUCAGAGUCUGGAACACACAACAAAAUCUUGCUAGAUCUUUGACCUCUGAACUUGGUCUUGGUUCACAGCCAGGAAGAUGGAGAUUAUCCUGGAAUGCACGUGUGAAGGAUCUUUAAUUUCUGUUGCACACUAAUCCUGUGUAGCACAUCAACUGGACUAAGGGAUAAAAGCAAAGUAGAAUCAUUCGCCAUCCCUAUGUCCAGAUGGCAAUAAGAAGACAUGGUAAAUCACUCGACAAAGGUCAGAUCAUGAAACAAAAUCAUGUCCCCAAAACAACUUCAUUUUAACUUAUCCUUGCUGCAUUAGAACAUAUGAAAGUUAUGGAGUGAAUAUAUAUGAAAAUGAGUGACCUUGUCAGGGAAUGAUAGCAUAUAAAAUCUAAGAUGUUCCUUUGAAGUGGGAAAAGCAUUGUGUAAUGAGCUUGGAACCAGAGAGGCCUUAGGGAGAUAGAGUGUGACCCUCUUCCCCUCGAGACUUGUGUUGAGUGCGGGGGCAGAAGGCUCUUGACCUCUCUGGGGCUCUCUUUGCCCUGCAGUUAAAUGGAGGCAGUGAAUGCAAAUUUGUUUUAAGGCACGUGAAGAGCUUGUAAUGAAACUGGGUGUGUGUGGUCAGUGCAAACAUUCACAAAAAAAUGGAAUGAUUGCACUGACAUCUGGCAUGGGUUUUGUCUAUUUGAGAAGGAUAAAAAUACACGGCUUAGCCCACAGGCUUAUUCUGCAUACAUCCAUAUAAUUUCCAGUGGUGUUAAACUACGAGGCAAGCAUUAACAUAUGACAAUAAUGCACUCACUUAUCUAUAAGUAGAUUCUUCACAUUGGAAGCCAGUAAAUGAAUUAUGAAUCCGUAUUAGUAAUGACUGGAAUUGAACCAAACCACUAAAUAUUUUAUACUCUCUCCACUUCCUUUUUAGUCUAGAGACCUUGGUAAUGAGAAAGCUAUUGAGGUAAGAGUUUAGUACUUGUUCCAACUCCCCUAAUAUGACAGAUUGAGGGCCUUACAUCCACCAGUUGCUUGUGCUAAAUUGGGAUUAUAAAGGUGAGUGAGUGUAAGGAAGAAUGUUAUUUAUAAUAGUCACAUAUUGUAUAUUAAGUCUUUGACCCCAAAUGCAUGUUGAAUAAAUCUUUGCACUUUGUAUUGCUACCAAUGGAAUAUCUUUCUGGCUGGUACUUAAUAAACACUUGGAUAAAUAUAAAA